rnacentral:lncRNA from 1 species
AGUGGAUCGAAGUACCAAGAUGAUGUCCUCAUAAUACAAAAUCUCCUUCCCAUAGAGCAGUGUUGGGGGUAAUGAAUAUAGCAAUAGUAACGAUCGGUCCUCUUCUUCUAACUUCAUUCCAACAUUCAGGAACUCAUUGCUGAUCUAGUCAAAUCUCUGAAUAUGAAUGACUACAUCUCCACCUUCCUACAUCCGAAGACUAUAGAGCCGCUUCUUCAACAUCAAUUUAUUGCACAUUUUUUUUUUCAUGUACAAGUGUGUAAUUUUGACCAUAGCCACUUUGGGGUUCUCUCCUCCAACAUCGAAUAUAGGG